UACAGAGGUCUCAAGCGUUGUUCGGAUUCAUUGGGCGUAAAGGGUGCGUAGGCGGCGGGGUAAGUCUGAUGUGAAAGGCCGGGGCUCAACCUCGGGACUGCAUUGGAUACUGCCUUGCUCGAGAACUGGAGAGGAGACUGGAAUUUACGGUGUAGCAGUGAAAUGCGUAGAGAUCGUAAGGAAGACCAGUGGCGAUGGCGAGUCUCUGGACAGAUUCUGACGCUGAGGCACGAAGGCCAGGGGAGCAAACGGG
rnacentral:rRNA from 1 species